AACGUGUAAAUAAUCUAGGAAGUGACGUGUUGAAGUUAAAACACAUAUACUAUAAUCGCUAAUAACAAACUCCGGAAGGAGUGAAAAAAUAAUUAUAAAAUAAUAAAAAUGAUUUCAGUUAUUCAGUUGGAGUCGAGGGGGAGUACUAAGCGACGGCGUUUUCAUCGGUGGUUUACUCGUUGACCAGGUUGGUUAGUUCUGGUUCUUAUUUAAACAGUGUCGUCUCGUCGAAUGAGAACUAUCUUUUUUCUUUCUCUUUGGAUCUCUUCUCUGCUCCCAACCCCAUCCAACAUUUUUAAGGUUUGUUAUGUCGGAAGUCCCUGAUUUUCUGGUCUAAGAUUCUAAGUAGUUAAGAGUUAGUUGUAAUUUAUUUUUAUUGUUAUUGUUCUGUCAAAAUGUGGAGUUUUGCUUCAAAUACCAUUGCUAGCAUUGGGUUAAAAUGUUCAAAAGAGGCGAAUCAAGCUUGUUCCGAGUGUUCAGAUGAUGAGCUGUGUUCAAAUGGUAGUAGAGAUGAAGGAUUAGAGUGUCCCAUUUGUUGGGAACCUUUCAACAUUGUUGAGAAUGUGCCUUAUGUCUUAUGGUGUGGUCACACUCUUUGCCAAAAUUGUAUCCUGGGUCUCCAACCUGCUGUUUUGAAACUCCCCACUCAGCAAAUCAAGAUCCCCAUGUUCAUUUCUUGCCCAUGGUGCCACUUAAUAGCGCUACGGCUAGUUUAUAAGGGGAACCUCAAGUUCCCUCGGAAGAACUUCUUCAUUUUGUGGAUGAUCGAGAGUUUGAAUGGGGAUAGGUAUGGCAUUUCCAGGAGAAAUCUAUCUGGGGACAAUCAAGCCGUUGGCUCUCUGAGAUGUAAUUUAAUGCUUGGCAAUCAAGCUAUCAGUGGUGUUGUUAGGAGAGGAUCAUAUGCCAAUCGUUCUGAACAAAAUAGGUCUCUAGAUACUGGUGGCAGAAAUAAUGCUGAGAGGCAUCAUUUCUCGCUUCAUAAAUCAUUGGAUUUCUUCAUUCACUUUACAUCCAAGUUCCCAUUGGUCAUCAUUUUCCUUCUGGUUGUCUUCUUUGCAAUACCGGGGAGUGCUGUUAUCUUAUUACUCCACUUUCUGGUCACAGUUGUUUUUGCCAUCCCGUCUUUCUUGGUACUGUACUUUGCAUUCCCUAUGUUGGAUAGGUUGGUAAGAGAAAUCACCUCAUGAGAUGUUGCUUUCUCACUUCAAAGGUCAGAGAGAUAUAUGGUUCCAAGUGAACACAUCUAUCCGUGUGAUCAUCCUUCUUCCAAUGCUCGCUCCACUGCUUUUAUUUGAAAUUUAGUAGCUCCACGCUGGUAAUGGGAUUUUUUAGUAUCCUGAAGCUUUCAGAUUAAUGCAUUGUUUUUGAUAUGGACUGUGACUGAGUGACUUCAAAACAUCUCAAAAGCUUGUUUUGGAAAUUGUGGUUGUGCCCUUAAUUAAAUGUCAUUGAAAUGUCAACUUACUUGUUGUACAAGCUUGAGUUCUCAAAAGAAUAUAAUUUGCAGUUAAUUGUGGUGUUUUUUUUUUUGUUUAUUUUCAUAAUUUUUCUGCAUUUUUAUAUACAAUUUGCUACUUUAUAUCGUUGCAGACAGUUCAAGUUAAGAUAAAUGGUUUUGCCGGUUGCUUAAUCUUUUAGCCCUUGAAAAUUAUGAGGACUCAUUGCAGCUUUUGUCAUUGUGGUGUAUGGCUUUACUUCCUAUUAUAUUUUAACUGGUUUUUUUUAACUAUUUCUGAAUGCACAAAUGGCCUCGUUGCUUUUGUCUAACUUGGGCUCGUAUCUCCUGCUAUCUGAUGAUUAUUGAAAUAAAGCUUGCUGCAUUAACCUUGAAGAUUCUGCUUAUCUUCAUUUUAUUCUUGUGCAUGAUAUAGAGCUCUUUUCAUUAUGGUUCAAAUUCAGCGUGGAAACUUGCAGUAUUGUUUAUCUUUUGGUGACAGUUGAAUGUUCAUGCACAAUCUAAAAGCCCUAGUAAGAUAUGGUUAACUAAGGAUUUAAACUCUCAGCAUGUUCUUGUUAUCCUCAAGGUUUUUGCAGUUUCAAGUAUUAGUUUCUUGUUAUUCAGUAGUAAUGGUGGGAGGUAUUCAGAUGGUUGGAGGGUUUAUUUAUUUAUUUUAUUUUUGUACUUUAGAUUUAUAAUUUCCAGAAAAAGUUGGAUUUUCAUUCAUGCUUCUGCAGCAAUUGAAGUUUGGAUUAUACUGUCAAUCUUCGAGACUAUUCAAAUUCCUUCAUGAUCAAAAUAAUAUAAAACAAUUUCUGCAUUUUAUCGUCACAUCAUUUGCGCUGUAAAUUUAUUAUUUUAUUUUGAGUAACAGAGUCUUUGUCCAAGACAAGGGCUAGGAUUUUCUGCAUGAGCUGCUAUAUGGCUUCAUAUAUGUUCAUACUAAAAGCAUUGUGUAGUGGUUUUAUAUGUGACUUGAAAGUCAUGAUACUACUUAUUAGUUAAAUUCAACAGCAGAAGCAUGUCAUUGGAAGCUCUCCUGUUGUUCUAAUUAUGUUUGCCUUUUCCUUUGCUUUAAGCUCAUCAUUUCUUUGUCUAGCAUUUGCCUGUGCUUUUGCUCCAUCUGCAACUUGUUUGAUGUAGUCCAUUUCAUUCCUAAAUUUGGUUAAGGCUCUUGCUCUCUUUUUCUCCGAUUCACUCUUCUGCUUGAAGAAUUAAGCUGUUAGUUUCUAAGAAAUAGUUGUAAAUUAGAAAAGAAAACCAUGUCUAACUUCUGAAUAAGCUGUUAGUUUCUAAGAAUUAGUUCGACUUUAGAAAACAAGUCUAACCUCUGCUUUGUCCAGCUUGCUUCUGGCCUUCUUUUUCUUCUUUUCCUCCCAUUCGAGUAUAGUGUUAUUUAACUUCACAUACCUGUAAUUCAUUGUUAGUGAAGAAGAUCAUAUACUUCUAAUUGCCUACAACUGUUUAGUACUAAACAAUUACUGCUUCUCGGUGUCAAUGUAUUAUUACCGGUCUUUGAUUUUAACCAUCUCUGCUUUCUCCCAAGCAUCUGCUUUUGCUUGAUCUGACCCUGGCCUUACUGUAUGCUGUCUUUUGGGUUCUACCACCGGAGGCACAGGUUUAGGGGUAGGAGGCAGUUCGGGUCUUGUUGCAGGAGUUCCUGGUUUAAUGGCAUGAUGGUCUGGUUUUGAUGUUGCUCUUUCAGGUUUCGGUGCUGCACGUUCUGGUUGACUGGAAAGUGUAUCAGGUUUCCGGGAACUUCCAGGUUCUGUACGACUAGAGCUGCCCGCGUUAUCAGUAAAAAUAGGAGGUCUUCUAAACGAUGACCCAUGUCUAGUUGCUUUUUCAUCUUUGGCAUCGGGUACUGGCACUUUGAUGUCUGCACUGUCUGGAACUUUCUUGGAACCUUCACCUGUUAAUUUGUUUUGGUUAAACAGGCAGCAAGAAGAAUUCUUAAUGCUUUGUUACAUGGAUAUCCGGAUUCUAUUUCUUAUGCCUUGAAUCUUUACCUGAAAAUUGUUCAGAUACGAUGCCAGGUUUCCAUGUUGAAAAUGUUGGACCUUCCUUUCUGUUCUUGUCCUUGAUCGAAGAGGGUUCUGCAAUCGAUGUAAUGACAUAUGCAGCAGCUGCAACUCCAACUACUUGCUCUGUUAUAUAGUUUGAAUCAUGAUUCCAACUAGUCAUUUUGCCAGAAAAUUGGUUUUGAAACCAAUAAUGGGUUCUCUUCUCUGCAAAAUCGGAAGUUAAGCUUCAAAGAAUCAAGGGAUGUUAUUUGCUCAUCCAGGAUUGAACAUUUAAGAGAUUUGGAUACAAUAUAAUACAAAAAACAACAGAGUUAUACCUCCUUUGAAAUGGUGGUAGACUUUGGUUUCUAGUACUGCUCAAUUAAUCUUCUGCUUUUCCCGGCCGGCACCAGAAAAUGGCAUAAGCGAUCAGUCUAAGGAUUAUGCAGAUAAAAUUAGAAAAAGAAAAACAUUUCAUCAUGAUUUGAAUUAAAUAAUGUUGGGUGAGAGAUAAUAGAAUUAUUACCUAUAGAUGCAAGUAAUCUGGUUGAUGGCAGAUUCCUGUAUCAAAAACAAAGGAGAAUGAGGUGUGGCAAAUUCUUCAUUAAUGGGUUCAAGAAAGAAAAGUGGAGGUAUACAAGGAAUGAAUAGGUUGGGUGGUUUAUAAAAGCAAAGACGAGGGAAGAAGUGGUGGUGUAGGUGAUGUUCAUAGGCGUAGAGACGAGCAGGCAAAGCAAGCUUGGGUUAUAUGCAUUACUUUGUUCGCAUGCAAAAGUCGGCUUUGGAUAUUCUUAACCCUCAGUCUACCACAAGAUACGUAUUCUUUCUUUGUCUUCAGGCUUUUGGGUUUAUAUUUAUUUCAUCUCUUUUUAAACAGUCUCGAGGGACGUUUCCUUUCCCAAAAGUUUGACAAGAAUCUUGUUUUUGUCUGCUCACCUAGCUUUGCCUUUUUUAUAUCUUUUUAGUCAUUGCCUACGUUAUUACCACCACGCUUUUCAAGUUUUUAAAUCUAUUUAUUGUAUUUUUUUUCCAAACAAAUUUAUAAAUGUUACUAUAUAA